GACGAACGCUGGCGGCGUGCUUAACACAUGCAAGUCGAGCGGUAAGGCCCUUUCGGGGGUACGACGAGCGGCGAACGGGUGAGUAACACGUGGGUGACCUGCCCUCAGCUCUGGGAGUAAGCCUCGGGAAACCGGGUCUAAUACUGGAUAUGACUCCAUGACGCAUGUUGUGGGGUGGAAAGCCUUGUGCGGCUGAGGAUGGGCCCGCGGCCUAUCAGCUUGUUGGUGGGGGUGAGGCCUACCAAGGCGACGACGGGUAGCCGGCCUGAGAGGGCGACCGGCC
rnacentral:rRNA from 1 species